rnacentral:rRNA from 1 species
UGGGGAAUUUUGCACAAUGGGGGAAACCCUGAUGCAGCGACGCCGCGUGAUUUAGAAGGCCUUCGGGUUGUAAAAAUCUUUUUUACGGGAUGAAAAUGACAGUACCGUAAGAAUAAGGUCCGGCUAAAUACGUGCCAGCAGCCGCGGUAAUACGUAUGGACCGAGUGUUGUCCGGAAUCAUUGGGCGUAAAGGGUACGUAGGCGGCCUAAUAAGUUAGAAGUGAAAGAAUAUAGCUCAACUAUAUAAAGCUUUUAAAACUGUUAGGCUUGAGAGAUGAAAGGGAAAGUGGAAUUCCUAGUGUAGCGGUGAAAUGCGCAGAUAUUAGGAAGAAUACCGGUGGCGAAGGCGACUUUCUGGUCAUCAUCUGACGCUGAGGUACGAAAGCGUGGGUAGCAAACAGG